rnacentral:rRNA from 1 species
UACAGAGGGGGCAAGCGUUAUUCGGAAUUAUUGGGCGUAAAGGGCGCGUAGGCGGCUUGGCAAGUGGAAGGUGAAAUCCCUCGGCUUAACCGAGGAACUGCCCUCCAAACUGCUUAGCUUGAGACCGGGAGAGGUGAGUGGAAUUCCCAGUGUAGCGGUGAAAUGCGUAGAUAUCUGGAGGAAUACCGGUGGCGAAGGCGGCAUCCUGGACCAUUACUGACGCUGAGGUGCGAAAGCGUGGGGAGCAAACAGG